rnacentral:lncRNA from 1 species
AUUAUAUAUUUGAUUAAUUAAACCAUAAUUAUUAGAUAAAUUAUAUUAUGAUUAAGCUUGUAUGAUAAUAAAAUAAAGAUAUUAAUAUGAAUUAUUGAUUUUAAUUUAAUAUAACUAAUAAAUAAAUAAUUAUAUUUAUUAAUUUUCAAAAUAUUUAACAAAUAUUUUAAUAAUUAUUAUUAAAUAUAUUUUUACUAGUUAUAUUUAAUAUUAUAAUAUAUAUUAAUUUUAAAUAUUAAAUCUAAUUUAUUUAUAUAAUUAAAAUUAAUUAAAAUUAAAAUAAUUGUUAUAAUUAAAUAAUAAUCUAAUUUAUAAUAAUAUAAUAUUAUUAUAGUAUUUAUAUAUUAUAUAAUAUUUAUUAAAUUAUAAUAUGCUUUCAUUUUUACUUGUUUUUAUUUUUCUGUUUUUUAUUCCAAAUCUUUUGUCUUUUCAUUUUUAUUCUUUUCUUGCUUUUUUUUUUUUCACAAAUUUCCUUUCAUUUCUUAUUUGCGUUUUUAAAUUCUCAUACUUUUUUUAUUUUGCAUUAACUUUUCUCUUUUUAAAAUUUUUGUCUGACUUUUUAUAUUAUUAGGUCUUAUAUGUUUUUCAAUUUUUUGUAUUUUUUAAACUAAUUUUUUUUUUCAUUUUGUCAUUCCAUUUCAUUUUUGAAUUUUUUAUUCAAUUUUUGUCCUUUUUUAUUUUCUUACUUUUUUCUUUUUUGUGCUUUAUUUAUCUUUUUUCUUUUGCUCUAAUUUUUUUCUUAUUUUAUUUUUAUUUUUUAUUUUCUUUCUUUAUUUAUAGUUUCAUAAAUUUUUAUAAAGUUUUGGAAUUUUUUAUUUUUCUAUCUUUUUUUCUUUUAUCAUUCUUGGUUAUUUUCUAUUGCAUUUUUAUAAUUUUUCAUUAACUUUUUCUCCUUUCAAAUUUUUCUUCUUUUUUUAUGUGCUUUCAUUUUUUUUUGUUCACUUUUUUCUUUGUUUUAAAAUUUUCUAUAAUUUUUUUUCUUUUUGUUUUCUUUCAUAUUUUUGCCUCUUCAUUUUUUAUUUUUUUCUUCUUUUUCAUUUUUUUUCUCAAAUUUUAUUUUAUAUAUUUUGUAUUUUCAUUUUUUAUUUUUUUCUUGCUUUUUCUUAAAUUUUUUUGUUCACACUUUUUUUUAUUUCUUCUUUAUAUUUUAUAUUUUUUAUUAACUUUAAUUUUAUUUUUCAUCUUUCAUAUUUUAUAUCUUUUUCCUCUAUUUGUUAUUUUUUUUUCUUUGUACAUUCUAAACUAAAAGUUUUUUUGCAUUUUAUAUUGGAAAUUUUUAUUCAUUUUGUCUUUUUAUAUUUUUUUGAUUCGCUAAUUUUUUAUUUUCUUACUUUGUUACUUUUUUGCUUUUGUUUAUUUUUAUUUUUUUCCUUUUUUGGUAUUUUAUUUAAUUUUUUCUCUUAAUUUAUUUUUCAUUUAUUUUUAUUUUUAUUUUAAAAAAUUUUUAUAAAGUUCAAAAUUUUUUAUUUUUAUUUUUUGAAUCUUUUUUAUUUUUUUAUUUUCUUAUUUUUUUUGCUAUUUUUUCUACUUUGUAAUUUUUUAAUAACUUUUUCCCUUCACAAUUUUCCUUCUUUUUGCUUUUUUUUUUUCAUAUGCUUUCAUUUUUACUUGUUUUUAUUUUUCGUUGUUUUAAAAAUUUUUAUUUUUUGUUUUUUAUUCCAAAUCUUUUGUCUUUUCAUUUUUAUUCUUUUCUUGCUUUUCUUUUUUUUUUUUCACAAAUUUCCUUUCAUUUCUUAUUUGCGUUUUUAAAUUCUCAUACUUUUUUUUUAUUUUGCAUUAACUUUUCUCUUUUUUAAUUUUUUGGCUGACUUUUUAUAUUGUUAGGUCUUAUAUGUUUUUCAAUUUUUUGUAUUUUUUAAACUAAUUUUUUUUUCAUUUUGUCAUUCCAUUUCAUUUUUGAAUUUUUUAUUCAAUUUUUGUCCUUUUUUAUUUUCUUACUUUUUUCUUUUUUUGUGCUUUAUUUAUCUUUUUUCUUUUGCUCUAAUUUUUUUCUUAUUUUAUUUUUUAUUUUCUUUCUUUAUUUAUAGUUUCAUAAAUUUUUAUAAAGUUUUGGAAUUUUUUAUUUUUCUAUCUUUUUUUCUUUUAUCAUUCUUGGUUAUUUUCUAUUGCAUUUUUAUAAUUUUUCAUUAACUUUUUCUCCUUUUAAAUUUUUCUCCUUUUUUUUUUAUGUGCUUUCAUUUUUUUUUGUUCACUUUUUUCUUUGUUUUAAAAUUUUCUAUAAAUUUUUUUCUUUUUGUUUUCUUUCAUAUUUUUGCCUCUUCAUUUUUUAUUUUUUUCUUCUUUUUCAUUUUUUUUCUCAAAUUUUAUUUUAUAUAUUUUGUAUUUUCGUUUUUUAUUUUUUCUUGCUUUUUCUUAAAUUUUUUUGUUCACACUUUUUUUUAUUUCUUCUUUAUAUUUUAUAUUUUUUAUUAACUUUAAUUUUAUUUUUCAUCUUUCAUAUUUUAUAUCUUUUUCCUCUAUUUGUUAUUUUUUUUCUUUGUACAUUCUAAACUAAAAGUUUUUUCCAUUUUAUAUUUGAAAUUUUUAUUCAUUUUGUCUUUUUAUAUUUUUUUGAUUCGCUAAUUUUUUAUUUUCUUACUUUGUUACUUUUUGCUUUUGUUUAUUUUAUUUUUCCUUUUUUGGUAUUUUAUUUAAUUUUUUCUCUUAAUUUAUUUUUCAUUUAUUUUAUUUUUAUUUUAAAAUUUUUUAUAAAGUUUAAAAUUUUUUAUUUUUAUUUUUUGAAUCUUUUUUAUUUUUUAUUUCUUAUUUUUUUGCUAUUUUUUCUACUUUGUAAUUUUUUAAUAACUUUUUCCCUUCACAAUUUUCCUUCUUUUUGCUUUUUUUUUUUUCAUAUGCUUUCAUUUUUACUUGUUUUUAUUUUUUCGUUGUUUUAAAAAUUUUUAUUUUUCUGUUUUUUAUUCCAAAUCUUUUGUCUUUUCUUGCUUUUCUUUUUUUUUUUCACAAAUUUCCUUUCAUUUCUUAUUUGCGUUUUUAAAUUCUCAUACCUUUUUUUAUUUUGCAUUCACUUUUCUCUUUUUUAAUUUUUUGUCUUACUUUUUAUAUUGUUAGGUCUUAUAUGUUUUUCAAUUUUUUGUAUUUUUUAAACUAAUUUUUUAUUCAAUUUUUGUCCUUUUUUAUUUUCUUACUUUUUUCUUUUUUUGUGCUUUAUUUAUCUUUUUUCUUUUUUUAUUUUCUUUCUUUAUUUAUAGUUUCAUAAAUUUUUAUAAAGUUUUGGAAUUUUUUUUCUAUCUUUUUUUCUUUUAUCAUUCUUGGUUAUUUUCUAUUGCAUUUUUAUAAUUUUUCAUUAACUUUUUCUCUUUUCAAAUUUUUCUUCUUUUUUUUAUGUGCUUUCAUUUUUUUUGUUCACUUUUUUCUUUGUUUUAAAAUUUUCUAUAAAUUUUUUUCUUUUUGUUUUCUUUCAUAUUUUUGCCUCUUCAUUUUUUAUUUUUUUUUCUCAAAUUUUAUUUUAUAUAUUUUGUAUUUUUGUUUUUUAUUUUUUUCUUGCUUUUUCUUAAAUCUUUUUGUUCACACUUUUUUUUAUUUCUUCUUUAUAAUUUUAUAUUUUUUAUUAACUUUUAUUUUAUUUUUCAUCUUUCAUAUUUUAUAUCUUUUUCCUCUAUUUGUUAUUUUUUUUCUUUGUACAUUCUAAACUAAAAGUUUUUUCCAUUUUAUAUUUGAAAUUUUUAUUCAUUUUGUCUUUUUAUAUUUUUUUGAUUCGCUAAUUUUUUAUUUUCUUACUUUGUUACUUUUUGUUUUUGUUUAUUUUUAUUUUUUCCUUUUUUGGUAUUUUAUUUAAUUUUUUCUCUUAAUUUAUUUUUCAUUUAUUUUAAAAAAUUUUUAUAAAGUUCAAAAUUUUUUAUUUUUAUUUUCUUAUUUUUUUUGCUAUUUUUUCUACUUUGUAAUUUUUUAAUAACUUUUUCCCUUCACAAUUUUCCUUCUUUUUGCUUUUUUUUUUCAUAUGCUUUCAUUUUUACUUGUUUUUAUUUUUUCGUUGUUUUAAAAAUUUUUAUUUUUCUAUUUUUUAUUCCAAAUCUUUUGUCUUUUCUUGCUUUUCUUUUUUUUUUUCACAAAUUUCCUUUCAUUUCUUAUUUGCAUUUUUAAAUUCUCAUACUUUUUUUAUUUUGCAUUCACUUUUCUCUUUUUUAAUUUUUUGUCUGACUUUUUAUAUUGUUAGGUCUUAUAUGUUUUUCAAUUUUUUUGUAUUUUUUAAACUAAUUUUUUUUUCAUUUUGUCAUUCCAUUUCAUUUUUGAAUUUUUUAUUCAAUUUUUGUCCUUUUUUAAUUUCUUACUUUUUUCUUUUUUUGUGCUUUUUUUAUUUUCUUUCUUUAUUUAUAGUUUCAUAAUUUUUUUAUAAAGUUUUGGAAUUUUUUAUUUUUCUAUCUUUUUUUCUUUUAUCAUUCUUGGUUAUUUUCUAUUGCAUUUUUAUAAUUUUUCAUUAACUUUUUCUCCUUUCAAAUUUUUCUUCUUUUUUUUAUGUCCU